ensembl:lncRNA ZNF213-AS1 ZNF213 antisense RNA 1 (head to head)
GCGACCCUGGCCCUUGAGCGACAAAAAGGGGAAGCCAAGGCUGGCCCGAGGAACGGAGAGGGCACAUGGCCUAGCCACAAGUGGAGCUUCUGCUCCGCCCGAAGGGAUGCGCUGGAGCGGCCUCUUCCUUCUGCCACGGUCUUUCUUUGCCAACUAGUAGUAGAGAUGGGGUUUCACCAGGUUAGCCAGGCUGGUCUUGAACUCCAGACCUCAAGGGAUCCGCCUGCCUCAGCUUUCCAAAGUGCUGGGAUUACAGGUGGAGACUGGACCUCAGAAGAGGGAGUGGGUGCCCCGAGAACUCACAGCUAGCGGACAGUGGAAAGGGCAGGAGCCGGACCAAGGUGAGGACAGUGGAACUGAAGGCCGCUGGUUACCUCUCCUGCCCUCCGCUGGCCACAGUGGAGAAGACAGCCCCUCCCUCCUGCUCUGACCUGACAGUGUUCAUCCAUCGCCCUGUAUUAGCGAAGAACAACAUCAAGCUGGCUAGCAAGGAACUGUAUACAGGGUCCAGCUGGGUAUCACACUGGAUCUCACCCAAAGCUUAGAUGUGAUCCAGCUCAGUAUCACAAAGCAGAACGAAAAGGAUGUGUUUGGGCUGAGAGGCCAUACAUUGGCUCCGGCAUGACGGGUGACUUCUUCCGAGUCUGGCUUCUGCAGCACACAGGGCUUCGCCAGCACCCAGCUCCUGCAGCAUGGGCAGCUCCUGUGACAGCAGGCGCCCGCAGCCUGCAAAGCGUCUCCAGUGCCGCCGCCUCAGUGAACCUCAACCAGCGGCACCUAGCAGCUUUCUCUGCCACCCUCUUCAGGUAGCACUCCAGAGCCGCGAGCCGCCUCGCACAGCCCGCGCGUUUCUUCUGCUCCCCCGGAAGAGGGCACGGUCUCCUUCCUGGCCGCUCUCUGCCGGCCGUACCGCACGACAGCUGGCAGCACCGUCAGCCCCUGCUCGGGAGCUCGGAAGAUGCUCUAGCUCCGCGGCCAGUGCAGCGAACCCACCCAACCCUGGUGCAGGAGCCAUUGCAGCAAAUUGACAGGGAGUCCUCUGGGCCGGAAGUGGCCCUGGCCCUGCGCCGUAUGCUCUCUAGGACUGCAGGAGGCUCGGCAUCUCGGUGAUAGACCCAGGAAGUCAGUGGCUGGGCGGGGCGGGCUGUGAGGACUGAGGUCUGUAGCGAAGGUCCAGCCCCGUGGUCUUCGCUUCGUUCGGCAACGAACGCCCAGCGAAGGGUAAGACGAAAUGCUUCAAAGACAGGAUCCUGGAGCAGUUGCCGGGGCAACCGUGCGGCUUGGGGCGUGGCGGUGAGGGGAAAAGGGCCGGGCACAAACUUCAGCCGUGAUUGGCUGGUUCUGCUGGAGCCGCCUUUCUCCCCGCCCCGAUGCCUGAAUGGCUAAGGGCAGGGGGGCGUGGCCUCCUGGAUUCAGUCAUGCCGGCGACGGGGCCGCCGAGCGAGAGGCUGGGUCCAUGGGACCCUGCAGGCUCUGGGCUUCGCUACACGGCCGGGCCCGGGAACUGGGAGACGGUGUCCUAGGCUAGGACGGCGCUGAGGCCGACGCCCCCGGCCCAGAGGGGCAGCGCCGACAGCCGAUCCCUGAGCGCUUGCAACAGGAACCUGGGGCCGCAGGGAAGCAGGUGGGAAGCCAGGAUGCAUACAUCCUGCCUCUCCGCCUCCGCCCUCACCGUGCUCCUGACACCGCAUCAGUGAUGAUCUGGUGGAGUUCUCCAGUGGCCGAGAAGCCCCGAGGAAGCCAGGGAAACCGCUGAACCUCCUCAUCCUCUACCCAGGGAGACACCAAGACCCUUACCUGGCUUCUUCCCUCCAGCCUCCUACCUCUCAGUGACGCCCAUCACCUACCAAACUAUGAGCACCCUUCAGCCUGGCGUUCCAGGUCCUUCCCUGGCACAGCCCCUACUCCUCCCUGUCUUAUUUGUGCUUGUCGAAUAUUUCCGAAACUGCCAA